CUCAGAUUGAACGCUGGCGGCAGGCCUAACACAUGCAAGUCGAGCGGUAGCACAGAGAGCUUGCUCUCGGGUGACGAGCGGCGGACGGGUGAGUAAUGUCUGGGAAACUGCCUGAUGGAGGGGGAUAACUACUGGAAACGGUAGCUAAUACCGCAUAAUGUCGCAAGACCAAAGUGGGGGACCUUCGGGCCUCAUGCCAUCAGAUGUGCCCAGAUGGGAUUAGCUAGUAGGUGGGGUAACGGCUCACCUAGGCGACGAUCCCUAGCUGGUCUGAGAGGAUGACCAGCCACACUGGAACUGAGACACGGUCCAGACUCCUACGGGAGGCAGCAGUGGGGAAUAUUGCACAAUGGGCGCAAGCCUGAUGCAGCCAUGCCGCGUGUGUGAAGAAGGCCUUCGGGUUGUAAAGCACUUUCAGCGGGGAGGAAGGCGAUAAGGUUAAUAACCUUGUCGAUUGACGUUACCCGCAGAAGAAGCACCGGCUAACUCCGUGCCAGCAGCCGCGGUAAUACGGAGGGUGCAAGCGUUAAUCGGAAUUACUGGGCGUAAAGCGCACGCAGGCGGUCUGUCAAGUCGGAUGUGAAAUCCCCGGGCUCAACCUGGGAACUGCAUUCGAAACUGGCAGGCUAGAGUCUUGUAGAGGGGGGUAGAAUUCCAGGUGUAGCGGUGAAAUGCGUAGAGAUCUGGAGGAAUACCGGUGGCGAAGGCGGCCCCCUGGACAAAGACUGACG
rnacentral:rRNA from 1 species